rnacentral:tRNA from 1 species
GGAUUGUGGCUCAGUGGUACAGCGCUCGCCUUGCACAGGUGGGACCUGGGUUCAAUCCUCAGCACCA